AGAUGAGGGUCAUGGGUCACUGCAAUCAAAUACACCUAAGGAAGGCCAAAUGUUGUGCUGAAACAUAGAGU